rnacentral:SRP_RNA from 1 species
GCCAGGCAUUGUGGCGGGUGCCUAUAAUCUCAGCUACUCUGGAGGCUGAGGCAAGAGACUCACUCAAGCCCAAGAGUUUGAGGUUGCUGUGAGCUGUGACGCCAUGGCACUCUACCCAGGGCGACAGAGUGAGACUCUGUCUUAAAAAAAAAUAAAUACAUAAAAAAUAAAAUUUUUUUGAGACUGAGUCUCACUCUAUCACCCUGGGUAGAGUGCCAGGGCAGCACAGCUCACAGCAACCUCAUUUCUUGGGCUCAAGCCAUCCUCUUGCCUCAG